AUUUCAUUUGUUUAUAUUUACAUUUUUCAGCUAUAGAGAGUAAAGAGGAGGAGUGAAAACCAGGCGAGAGGAGAAAAUAUGAAAAUUAACAUCAGAAAAAAAUGUAAAAUAAAUGCACUUCAAAAAUCAAAAUCGUGAAAAAUUUACAGAAAUUUGCCACUUAAUUACAAAAGGAACAAAUAUAUGAGCCAGUGGACACCCCAUCCUUAUUAGGAGGAAUGGGAGUACAGUUAUCAAAACCUGUGGCUAUGGAGAUAUGAUGAAACAUUUCUUUGAAGGCCUCCCAAUCACAUAUGCACCACCAUACAAUUAUAGGCGGAAGCUGCCGGCAA
rnacentral:lncRNA from 1 species